rnacentral:rRNA from 1 species
AGCAGCCGCGGUAAUUCCAGCUCCAAUAGCGUAUAUUAAAGUUGUUGCAGUUAAAAAAGCUCGUAGUUGAAUUUCGGGGUCUGUCCAUUGGUCGGGCUUCACGGUCCGUACUGGUGUGAUGGGUUCCUACCUUCUGAAUAACCGGCAUGCCAUUUAGUUGGUGCGCCGGGGAAGCAGAGCUAUUACCUUGAAAAAAAUUAGAGUGCUUAAAGCAGGCUAGUGCUUGAAUAGAUUAGCAUGGAAUAAUAAAAUAGGACGGCAUGGUUCUAUUUUGUUGGUUUUCUAGGAUCACCGUAAUGAUUAAUAGGGAUAGUUGGGGGCGAUUAGUAUUCAAUUGUCAGAGGUGAAAUUCUUGGAUUUAUUGAAGACUAACUUCUGCGAAAGCAUUUGCCAAGGAUGUUUUUCAUUAAUCAAGAACGAAAGUUAGGGGAUCGAAGACGAUCAGAUACCGUCGUAGUCUUAACCAUAAACUAUGCCGACUAGGGAUCGGACGAUGUUAAUUUUUUAAUGACUCGUUCGG